UUACCCCCAGCCCGUGACAAGACUCACCCCCACUCAGCGAGGGUUGAGAGGACUACGAGAGAGAUUGUUAGGGGCAUUCCGACGCCACCCUUCAUGAGGACCUCACGCGAUGGGUCCUAGUACAACGUCCCCCAGUCAUUGAUUAUGCAAGCCUU